rnacentral:rRNA from 1 species
UACGGAGGGUGCGAGCGUUGUCCGGAAUCACUGGGCGUAAAGGGCGCGUAGGCGGCCUGAUAAGUAGGGGGUGAAAUCCUGCGGCUUAACCGCAGGGCUGCCUUCUAAACUGUCAGGCUAGAGCACAGUAGAGGCAGGUGGAAUUCCCGGUGUAGCGGUGGAAUGCGUAGAGAUCGGGAAGAACAUCAGCGGCGAAGGCGGCCUGCUGGGCUGUUGCUGACGCUGAGGCGCGACAGCGUGGGGAGCAAACGGG